AAGGGUUUUCCGACGCGAGUUAUAACGCGACUCAUCUUGUCAUAAAGAGAUGGGUCACCCCUGGCCGGCCACCCCCAAGUAACUUUUCUUUCUCAGAGCUCUCUGUGAGAGGUGAGGAAGCACCGCUCGGUAACUCCGUAACACAUCACGGAGCGCUGCUCCUCCAACUCAUCGCGCUGCUUUCCCGUUGCAGCUCUGCUGACAGAGGCUCCCACCGCCCCGGCAGAAGGAGCCCCGCUUUGCGGAGCAGAGCUGUUUAUUGACGGACUAAUGGAAGGGAGGGAAUAACCCCGACAUCCAGCGCAGCGCAAGUUGUGAACAGAAGACGUUAAAAACUGCCGGGACCUCCGUUUUGCUAGAGAAAGGUUUAAUAUAAAUUAAGCGGGGUGACGAUUAACUAUGGCAGCAUCUGAAGCGCGAGCUAACCCUCCGUGCUGAAAGCCGAUGGUUAGAAGUAGCAGCACAACGCAAAAACCCUGUGAUUUGUUCCUGAAGUUCGUGUUUUUGCUAACAGAGCUUUGCCGGCUUCAAAGUUACAGUGAGAUAUUCCAUCACAGAAGUUCAUCUUCUGCUUUCUUUUUCUGUUCUAGGAUCUAGGAGAAUGGGUGUUGAAAGUGAGACGCAGUCAGAAAUAGGAGUAUCAGAAAAGGUGACGGAACAAGCCGAGAAAUUACAGUGCAGUCAAUCAGCCAGACCAGAUGGUAUUCAUCCGAGAGUUCUGACGGAACCAAGGACCUGCACAAGUGAGUGCUAACAAAAAUAUGUAAUUUAUCAUUAAGAACAGCUACCGUACCAGAGGACUGGAGAAUGGCCAAGGUUGUACCCAUCUCUUAGAAAGGUGCUAAUGAUGAUCCUGGGAAUUAUAAACCAGUAACUCUUGCUUCAGUACUAGGAAACUAUUCAGAGAAUUGCUGCACAUAACGUGCCGAGGCACACAGAUAGCAAGGGAAAGCUGUAGUGCUCCUACUGAAAUCCUCUCAGCCC
rnacentral:lncRNA from 1 species